UUUUAUUUUACUCGACUUGAUAUGCUGAAUAUUUAAGAAAAUUAAAUGCCGGUUCUGUCAUAACAGAGCUGAAAGAAAGACUAUGAACGGUCAACAAUCUACAAUCCUUGCCAAAAGUCUUGGUACACCAAGCUAAAAUUUUGCAUAACUCCAGUAGCCUCCCCCUCUCCCCCUUGAAACAAUGCUGAAUAACAACAGUUUCAAAUUCGUCCAAUGUCAGUUUAUUAGCUAGGGUAAGUAAUAGGCUUUUCAGCCAACAUUGUUUUUGGGAGGAGGGGGGAUAUUUCUGUAUCUUACAGCCGGAAACCUUUAUUUCUUCAAAAUCUUUCAUUGGUCGCAGGGUGUUCCAAGGACUUUUGUCAAGGAUUGUAGGUUCAAAAACUGUCUUGAAACCAAACGACUACCAUUCGAAUUUUUGCUUGGUUAGAUAGGUAAAACCUGUCACAUGAGAAAACAGAUAACUGUUUCAGCUAGAACACUUUUAUGCAGUUAUACCUGGAAGUUUCUGCUUCUUAUAUGUGAUCAAUUGGUAACACAUCUUUUAGGACAGUUUAAUUACUCGCAGCCAGAGGGCUUCUCUAGCAGGGGGUGUAUGGGGUUGGUGAAGCUUUAUUUGGUCCACCAAAACUUUAAUUGAUCGGUAAAAUCACCUUUUCUUUGUCGGUAAGUUUUACUAUGGAUGAAUUGAUUCUCCAUCACCCCCACCCUUAGUCUGGAAUGUCAAGCUAUGCCACUGCGUACAAUGUGUGGGGGCGCACGAGGCAAGUUGAACAUGUUGAAAUGAAGCCUCGAUUCCAAUUUCAAUUGCCCACUCAUCACGUCAAAUCAAACUGGCGGGAAACAGCACACGAGGUUGGGGCUGCGGUUAGUUUGCAAAUAACAGAAGAUGACAAAGGUGAAAGACAACAUUUAAUAGCAAUUUAAUUGAUAUAGAGCUGAAGGCCCGUUUUUUGCUAAAAGGAGGGCCUACUAUAGGUUUGCGGCUACAUGGCCUCAAUAUCACGGCUUCGUAGCCCAAUUUAUAGUUGCAGCCUACGGACUUGGCAAUGGACUUUUCGCGGAUUGCGUCUUUCGGUGUAGAUUGGCAACGGUUAACAGCUUUAAGGAUGUGGAAACGUUGUCACAAAAUAUGGCAUCAAUCCAGUAUGGAAAGUAUGGCAGCUACACACCCGCGAUAUUUCUUAGAAAUCAUCAGUGCACGCUUGAUAUAUUGGGUGUGUCUCAAACAGACUGGGGGCGGUUGCUCUGGUUAAUGUGAUAGAUUUUGUGUCCAGAAGAACGAGAAGAGUCCACCAGAUGUUACUUGGAAAGUCACAGAAUUUUCUUCAAAUUACUACAUAAAGAUAUUAUUUGGAAAGUCACAGAAUUUUCUUCAAAUUACUACAUAAAGGUAUUUGACGUUUUUUAUAUUAUUUCAAACCAUGUUCUUUAUUCGCAAAAGUUUUAUACUUUUGAAGUUUUUUCAUAAGACCUUCUUUAAUCAGAAUAAAGGCCAGUAUUCUUUUUACGACAUAUCAUCUAAAAUUUCAUUGGAAACGCUCUGAAAGGUGUUCAGAACGUA